GUGCCGUGAUGAUCAUCUUAGGACACCUUUGAAGGUCUAGGCCUGUGAAAAGGAACUUAAUCUGAGCAUG